CGUAGGCGCAAGCGUUAUCCGGAAUUAUUGGGCGUAAAGAGCUCGUAGGCGGUUUGUUCGCGUCUGCCGUGAAAGUACCGGGGCGUUAACUCCGGAUCUGCGGUGGGUACGGGCGAGGACUAGAGUGCAGUAGGGGAGACGUGGAAUUCCUGGUGUAGCGGUGAAAUGACGCAGAUAUCAGGAGGAACACCGAUGGCGAAGGCAGGUCUCUGGGCUGUAACUGACGCUGAGGAGCGAAAGCAUGGGGAGCGGAACAGGAUU
rnacentral:rRNA from 1 species